GCGGUUAUAUUUUAAACAAAUAAGUGUAUUUAAAAUUUUUGAAUAAUGUUUGCACUGGACUUUAAUUUUUUUUUUAGUUUGCAAUGCGAUUUCGAAUAUUGAGGGAGUAGCGUUGCACCGAUGCAGAGGUGAAUUUCUAACCAUUCGUCCUUUGGCCUCUCCCACAACUAAAUAAUUAUACUUGCAGGGUCUGCAUAUUUUUCAAGCUAAGAUUUCACAUGGAACUAUAAAAGUACAAUAGUAUUCAUAUCGGAAGACUAUAAUGGGCACCCAUUGACUG
rnacentral:lncRNA from 1 species